UACGGAGGGGGCAAGCGUUAUUCGGAAUUAUUGGGCGUAAAGGGCGCGUAGGCGGCUAGAUGUGUCAAAGGUGAAAUCCCUCGGCUCAACUGAGGAACUGCCUUUGAAACUGUCUGGCUUGAGGCCGGGAGAGGGUAGCGGAAUUCCCAGUGUAGCGGUGAAAUGCGUAGAUAUUGGGAGGAACACCAGUGGCGAAGGCGGCUCACUGGCCCGAUACUGACGCUGAGGCACGAAAGCCAGGGUAGCAAACGGG
rnacentral:rRNA from 1 species